UACAGAGGUCUCAAGCGUUGUUCGGAUUCAUUGGGCGUAAAGGGUGCGUAGGCGGCGCGGUAAGUCGGGUGUGAAAUCUCGGGGCUUAACUCCGAAACUGCAUUCGAUACUGCCGUGCUUGAGGACUGGAGAGGAGAGUGGAAUUCCUGGUGUAGCGGUGGAAAUGCGCAGAUAUCAGGAGGAACACCCGGUGGCGAAGGGCGGGCUC
rnacentral:rRNA from 1 species